ensembl:lncRNA
UUUCUUUCAUCAGUUGUUAAUGAUAAGAGUCUGAGGUGUGUGUGUGUGUGUGUGUGUGUGUGUUCAGUGCUGCUGUUCCCCGAGGCGUGUGCAGUCAGUGUCGUUCUCUGGAGCGGAUGGUGCAGGUGGAGCAGGAGUAUCCCGGAGGAGUGGAGCACAUCUUCAGUCCUGGCUGUGUGCCGCUGCUCCGGAUGCUGCAGCGAUGACGAGCUGGAGUGUUUCCCCGUCAGCACACAUAACAUCAGCAUCCAGCUGUUGAGGAUGACUCCGGCGGAGAGGAGCAGAGAAUAUGUGCUGCUUUCCUUCCUGGAGCACCAGAGCUGUGAGUGCAGGUACACACACACCUACACACACCUGCACACACACACACCUGUAGAUACACCUGCACACACAGUACACACACCUGCACACACACACACCUGCACACACACACCUACACACACCUGCACACACACACACCUGUAGAUACACCUGCACACACACACACCUGUAGAUACACCUGCACACACAGUACACACACACACCUGUACACACACACACACACCUGUCUCUCCACUGCGCUGGACUUUAAGUUUGCUUUACAUUUAUCCAAGUCUCUUAUUUCCUGACAUUCAGGCCCAGACGACACCACCUGAGAAAUCAGCAGUGAGGAUUGAUUGAUUGCUUGAUGUUUCCUGUAUGUUAAUCAAUCAAUCAAUCACCUUUAUUUAUAUAGUGCUUUAAACAAAAUACAUUGCAUCAAAGCACUGAACAACAUUCAUUUGGAAAACAGUGUCUCAAUAAUGCAAAAUGAUAAAGGCAGUUCAUCAUUGAAUUCAGUGAUGUCAUCUCUGUUAAUGACAGACAUGAAGGAUGGGGAUGUUCUUCUCCUGCAGGAGGAGACGGAGAGAGAGGACGGACGGAGAUCGAGACUCUGCUGGGGUCAGGUAUGAAAGGUUUGACAAAAUUCAUCAUCUUCUAAGUUCUCAACCGUCACAGCAGAUGCAGUUACUUAAAAGUGCCGCUAAACCCAUGUACGUGUGUGUGUAUAUAACUUAUUUAUGUCUUUAAUGCCCUGCUGUAGAUGUGAUGAUAAUUAUGGCCAAUAGGCACCAACUGUCUUCAUUCAUCACACAAGCACUUCUGGACAUUACUGUGGUCAGUCUGACCCGACCCGGAUCAGUAUCAGCCAUAAAACCAGAAGCAACUGGGUCUUGCCAUGCAGUGCAUGUUCAUAUCACGUGUGUUAAUAUAUUUCAUAAAACAAACUAACAGUAUUUAAAAAAAAUUCUACUUUUAUAUUUUAUCAGAAUGGAAUGAGUGAAUUGUAUUUACGUUUCUGCGUUUAGUCGAAGCUUUUAUGUAAAGCGAUUUACAAAAGAGAACAUUUUUAAAUAAUGUCUCAUGUCAUAAAUUAAAGUGAUAUUAGUGUUACAUGACACAUCUGACAGGAGACACUCUGCGCUCGAACACAUUGUCCUCGCGUCGCUCGACAGUCACGUGUUUAAGCUUAGCGUUGUUUUGGUCACUGGCCAAUGCGAGGCGAGCUUGAAGAAUGACGCUGUCACUUCCGCCAACAGACCCACCCACUUUUUUGCCAUAAAAGGAAAGCCCAUGACCAAAGCACAUUCCCCCGAUAAGCCCCGCCUCCUGGGAUAAGGAUAGGCCGGUCGGAGAGAUUUAGUCGCCUGCGAUUGGAUUAGACCACAAGUCAAUCACGUAGCUGUUAGCAACCAUCGAAACGCUGAAGAAUCCAACGUAAAUACAGCGAAUGAAUAACACGAUCACGCUCCAUUGUAAGUCUAAGGCAAACUUUAUUUAUCUAUUCAGAUGCAUAUUAAUGCAGUAAUGUGUCUAAUUUUUAAUUUAAUGUGUGUCAUUAAUGUUAGACGUCAGUCGGGGGCGAGGCUUCUGCGUCACAGGUCUCGUGUACAGCACCGUGUUGCCGCGACGGGAACGAUCAGGGCGUCUGACCGAACACAAGCAGCCUGAACGCGGUAAGAUUCUGCUGAAUCGCACCGAGCGAGCACAGAACGAGCACAGAACGUUGUUAUAAGGCACUCUGAACGCCGGAUCUGAGCGUGUUUUCAUCAUCUCUGGGGAUUCCCGGUUCCCGGAUGAAGUCACGGCGCGCACGUACUCUGUCACGAGCAACUCUCCGUGCUAAACCGCGCGUUCUGACCGGAUGAACGUUUGUCAAAGUGCGUCGGAUAAAAAGUUAGCGUGCUUUUGAGGAGAAACUUAAACGGCAGCCCUGCUUUUAACGACUGUUUACUCUUGGCCCGUAUCACCAUGUCGUUUCAGCUUGACGUUUAGACACGAAACUGUUUUUUUUUUAUUUAAUUAUGUUUACUUACUCGCACGAUAAACAGCGUAGAUCUAUCCGGUAGGCCGUUUGACACAGCUAACGAGCGACUGACGCGACCCGGAGAUGCGACGUCAUACCUGACCCGAUGACGUCAUGACGCUCGGUUUACAACAACCGUAAUCAUAAUAUCGUUAAUAAUAGACAAUAACGCUAAUAAUUACUGUUUAUUAAAAAUAUGAUGUGUUGUAGAAACAGUUAUAAGCUCUCUGUAGGUGAUCAGCUUGUUAUUUUAGUAUCUCUGAGUUUGCAAACAGUGAUGACGUUUUUGUUUGUUUAUAUUUCCUCAGGCUGGUGGCAGAAGAUGACAGUUUUAAAGUAGAUGUCUAUUGAAACCACUGAAUAAAAAGGUAAUUUUGAGUUUGUAUAUCCAAAUUUUGAUGAACUUAAAAUAUCUCACAGUUCAGAUAAGAAAAAUCAACAGCUUAUAAAGAGUUAUAAAGUCCGAACUAGAUGUUUGUAUCUUCACU